UCUUGAUGCAAAAAUGGGGGUUGAAGUGUCUCAAGCUUCUUGAUGGAUUUUCUAUCCUACCAUCCUUCAAGGCUUCUCAGCUAAGUGGAAACAUUAAAUUGGUGGAGAUAGCUCUAACGUCGAAAGAUAAUGCUUGAGUUGAUAAAGGUGCUCCAAAAUUCAUAAACCUCAUAACGAUCAUCCUUUUCCUCAAGCUGAAACAACAUGUGGUUCACCUCUUCAAGAACUUCAGGCAAGGAGGACGUUGCGUGGAUUGAAAGGUUUGGCGAGGUUGAAAGCAUUGGUAAAAGGACAUUCUGUUCAACGAUAAGCGGCUACUACUUCACAAUGCAUGCAAACUUGAGGAAGAUAAGAAUGUCUGAAGAGAAUGAAUCUUUUCAACGCCAAUUGCAGCAGAAUCGUGAAAAGGAACUUGACAAGUUACAA